UCUAAUAGUUUUUUUAUUUUUUUUUUAAAUUCUUUCAUAACUCUUGAUUACAAUUUUUUAAUAAUUGGUCAACAGUUGGUAAAGGGAGAUUACUCUGACACCAAUGUUGCUAACUAAAACAAAACAAUCAUCUGGCAUUUCUUGUUGCUCAAGACCCCUUAAUUUACUUUAAUAUUUACACUCUAAACUAGAAAGAAUCAUAAAUACUAAUAAUGAAAUCAGCUUUGCUUUAUAAUAUUCCUGGAGUCGGCAGUUACAAUCUGUUAGGUGAUCAUCAUGGUCCUAUUAAAGACUUGGAACUGAACAGAACAAGAUCCCUUAACAGAUUAGAUCAAAGUGGAAGGACAUAUAAAGACAUAGAAUGUCGGCCUCAUCAUUUCUUUCUGGAUUCAAUGAUAACCGUCUCAUCUUGCUUUGUUGCUUUUAAUUGUUCAGUUAAUUCAUACCCAGUAACAGCUCGCCUAUAGUCGGUGGACUCUGUGACAUAUUUAGAAAUGAAGUCAACUAUCUCAAGAUUGGAUGAAGAAGUUACAUAUUUAGAAAAUACAAAAGCUAGCCUGGAAAUGGAGAGGGAUAGCAUCUCUUCCAGUAUGAUGGAGGAGCGAGAAAAGUUUCAUAAUGAAUGUUCAGUACUGACAUCUUCAAUCUUAGAAUUACAGACCACAGUAACAAACUCUGAAGGCAAGAACAAUGUCUUGAAUAAAACUGUACUAGAACUGCAAUCUAAAAAUGCUCAUUUAGAAAAUGAUAUGAAUAUCAUUUCUUCCCAGCUAGAUGCUGAGAGAGUCAAGUCAGCAAAAAAGAAUUUUGAGCUUAAGUCGACCAUAUCUGCAUUUCAAGAAGAAUCUCAGCCAGAAAAAGACCAAUUGAAAAUGACCAUAUCUGCAUUGCAAGAAGAAUCUCAGUCAGAAAAAGACCAAUUGAAAAUGACCAUAUCUGCAUUUCAAGAAGAAUUUCAGGUAGAGAAAGACCAGUUGAAAAUGACCAUAUCUGCAUUACAAGAAGAAUCUCAGGCAGAGAAAGACCAUUUGAAAGCUACCAUAUCAGAAUUACAGAACGACACCAUAGAAUUAAAAGAGAAAUUAGAUUACACUAAGCAAGAGUCUCAAACUGUUUUGUCUCAACUGCAUAAAGAAAGGGAGUCUCUAAACUCAUACAAAUUAGAAAACUCACAGAUGAAACAACUAUUUUGAAUAAAGAGAAAGAAAUAGCAGAUUUGAAAGCUGAAAUUAGAAAUCUAGCUAAUACUUUAGUGGAAUCAGAAUACAUUAGAAAUGACCUUGAGAAAGGCUUAGCUGAUGAAAGGGAACAAUUCAAGAAAGAAUGCUCCGUUUUGAAAUCAGUAGCAGAACUGACGCAGAAGCUUGAGCACUGUGAGAAUGAGAGAAGUAACUUUGAAUCAAACAAUACAGGAGCUCAAGACUAUGAUUGUCCAUUUGGAAAAAGACAAGGAGGCUUUGUCAUCACAGCUGGAAGAAAACUGGAAACGGAUUAAAAAAAUAGAGCCUUUCAGAGAUGUCUUGGAUAAUUUUCAAAUGGAAAAAAAAUUCUUGUUGGAUAGAGACAAAUAUACAAGUGAGCAAAUGGAAAGAUUGACCAAAGAAGCCAUUAAAAACAUGGGUCAUCAAAACCAUCGCCAGAAAGUCAAAUAUGUGAAGACUUUAAAAAAGAUUGCUCCGGUGAUUGCUACUGCACAAUGUGACUCUUCCAAAAUGACACAGACACCUGGUGAACCAAGAAUUCCUUUUAAAGGAAAAAAAAUGCUGUCUGAAUCUGAGUGCAUGUGCCCAGUAUGCAUUAGCUUAAUCAUCCAACCUGUAACAUUCCCCUGCAAUCACUAACUGUGUUUAAAAUGUUACAAGGAAACAGUGGAAAAAGCCAACCUCUCAUGUCCAGUCUGCAGGAAGCGCAUUUCAGUUUGGGCCAGAAAAGCUGCCAAGGAAAAUAAAUUGAUAAAUUGAUAAACAUGGAAAAGUGGACAGACAUCCAAGAGGCCUUCCCUGAAAAAGUGAGGCGCAGGCUGGAAGCCAGUGAAGAAAGCGACAGUGAAGAUGAUGAAGAUGAUUUUGAAGCCAAUUCAGCAAAAAAAAGGACGAACAGGCAAAGAAAGAGGAGGAGGCCAGUAAAGUAAAUUUUGAAGCUCUGCAACAGGAAGAAUUUUUGUCAGAGAAAGUGGAAAUAGAAGAGAAAGCACUGAUGCUUGAAAAG